rnacentral:rRNA from 1 species
AAACAACUCUCAGCAACGGAUAUCUUGGCUCUUGCAACGAUGAAGAACGCAGCGAAAUGCGAUAUUUAAUGUGAAUUGCAGAAUUCCGCGAAUCAUCGAGUCUUUGAACGCAAGUUGCGCCCGAGGCUUGUCCGAGGGCAUUUCCGCUAGAGCGUCACC